rnacentral:rRNA from 1 species
AGUGAACGGUGGCGGUAGGCCUAACACAUGCAAGUCGAACGGCAGCACAGUAAGAGCUUGCUCUUACGGGUGGCGAGUGGCGGACGGGUGAGGAAUACAUCGGAAUCUACUUUUUCGUGGGGGAUAACGUAGGGAAACUUACGCUAAUACCGCAUACGACCUACGGGUGAAAGCAGGGGAUCUUCGGACCUUGCGCGAUUGAAUGAGCCGAUGUCGGAUUAGCUAGUUGGCGGGGUAAAGGCCCACCAAGGCGACGAUCCGUAGCUGGUCUGAGAGGAUGAUCAGCCACACUGGAACUGAGACACGGUCCAGACUCCUACGGGAGGCAGCGGUGGGGAAUAUUGGACAAUGGGCGCAAGCCUGAUCCAGCCAUACCGCGUGGGUGAAGAAGGCCUUCGGGUUGUAAAGCCCUUUUGUUGGGAAAGAAAAGCAGCAGGUUAAUACCCCGCUGUUCUGACGGUACCCAAAGAAUAAGCACCGGCUAACUUCGUG